GACGAACGCUGGCGGCGUGCCUAAUACAUGCAAGUUGAGCGAUGAAGAUUGGUGCUUGCACCAAUUUGAAGAGCAGCGAACGGGUGAGUAACGCGUGGGGAAUCUGCCUUUGAGCGGGGGACAACAUUUGGAAACGAAUGCUAAUACCGCAUAACAACUUUAAACAUAAGUUUUAAGUUUGAAAGAUGCAAUUGCAUCACUCAAAGAUGAUCCCGCGUUGUAUUAGCUAGUUGGUGAGGUAAAGGCUCACCAAGGCGAUGAUACAUAGCCGACCUGAGAGGGUGAUCGGCCACAUUGGGACUGAGACACGGCCCAAACUCCUACGGGAGGCAGCAGUAGGAAAUCUUCGGCAAUGGACGAAAGUCUGACCGAGCAACGCCGCGUGAGUGAAGAAGGUUUUCGGAUCGUAAAACUCUGUUGGUAGAGAAGAACGUUGGUGAGAGUGGAAAGCUCAUCAAGUGACGGUAACUACCCAGAAAGGGACGGCUAACUACGUG
rnacentral:rRNA from 1 species